rnacentral:rRNA from 1 species
CUACGGGGGGCUGCAGUGAGGAAUAUUGCACAAUGGGGGGAACCCUGAUGCUGCAACGCCGCGUGGAGGAUGACGCAUUUCAGUGUGUAAACUCCUUUUAUAUGUCAAGAAAAUGACGGUAGCAUAUGAAUAAGCACCGGCUAACUCCGUGCCAGCAGCCGCGGUAAUACGGAGGGUGCAAGCGUUACUCGGAAUCACUGGGCGUAAAGGACGCGUAGGCGGGUUGGAAAGUCAGGUGUGAAAUCCUACAGCUUAACUGUAGAACUGCACUUGAAACUUCUAAUCUAGAGUAUGGGAGGGGGAGAUGGAAUUAGUGGUGUAGGGGUAAAAUCCGUAGAUAUCACUAGGAAUACCUAAAGCGAAGGCGAUCUCCUGGAACAUUACUGACGCUAAGGCGUGAAAGCGUGGGGAGCAAACAGGAUUAGAUACCCCGGUAGUC